GACGAACGCUGGCGGCGUGGAUUAGGCAUGCAAGUCGAACGGUAUCAUCCUUUCGGGGGUGAGAGAGUGGCGAACUGGUGAGUAACACGUAGGUUAUCUACCCUCAAGACGGGGACAACCCAGGGAAACUUGGGCUAAUACCGGAUGUGAGCAACUUUUAGUUGUUUGAAAGGUGGCGUAAGCUGUCGCUUGGGGAUGAGCCUGCGUCCUAUUAGUUAGUUGGUGAGGUAACGGCUCACCUAGGCAAUGAUAGGUAGGCGGCCUUAACGGGUGGUCGCCCACACUGGGAUUGAGAUACGGCCCAGACUCCUACGGGAGGCAGCAGUCGAGAAUAGUCUACAAUGGUCGGAAGACUGAUAGUGCGACGCCGCGUGAACGAUGAGUCCCUUCGGGGUGUAAAGUUCUUUUAUAUGUGAGCAGUGCUUCUUAUAUUAACAGUAUGGGGAGAGAGAUAUUAGCAUAUGAAUAAGCAACGGCUAACUCCGUGCCAGCAGCCGCGGUAAACUCGU
rnacentral:rRNA from 1 species